GAGUUUGAUCAUGGCUCAGAACGAACGCUGGCGGCAGGCCUAACACAUGCAAGUCGAGCGCGCCUUCGGGCGAGCGGCGGACGGGUUAGUAACGCGUGGGAACGUGCCCAGAUCUACGGAAUAGCCACUGGAAACGGUGAGUAAUACCGUAUACGCCCUUCGGGGGAAAGAUUUAUCGGAUUUGGAUCGGCCCGCGUUAGAUUAGGUAGUUGGUGGGGUAACGGCCUACCAAGCCUACGAUCUAUAGCUGGUUUUAGAGGAUGAUCAGCAACACUGGGACUGAGACACGGCCCAGACUCCUACGGGAGGCAGCAGUGGGGAAUCUUGGACAAUGGGGGCAACCCUGAUCCAGCCAUGCCGCGUGAGUGAAGAAGGCCCUAGGGUCGUAAAACUCUUUCGCCUGUGAUGAUAAUGACAGUAGCAGGUAAAGAAACCCCGGCUAACUCCGUGCCAGCAGCCGCGGUAAUACGGAGGGGGUUAGCGUUGUUCGGAAUUACUGGGCGUAAAGCGCACGUAGGCGGAUUAGAAAGUUAGAGGUGAAAUCCCGGGGCUCAACCCCGGAACUGCCUUUAAAACUACUAGUCUGGAGUUCGAGAGAGGUGAGUGGAAUUCCGAGUGUAGAGGUGAAAUUCGUAGAUAUUCGGAGGAACACCAGUGGCGAAGGCGGCUCACUGGCUCGAUACUGACGCUGAGGUGCGAAAGUGUGGGGAGCAAACAGGAUUAGAUACCCUGGUAGUCCACACCGUAAACGAUGAAUGCCAGUCGUCGGGUAGUAUACUAUUCGGUGACACACCUAACGGAUUAAGCAUUCCGCCUGGGGAGUACGGUCGCAAGAUUAAAACUCAAGGAAUUGACGGGGG
rnacentral:rRNA from 1 species